rnacentral:lncRNA from 1 species
GUAGGGGGUGUAGGGUGGCGGCGCUCCGCCUUUCACCGACGCAGCUGGGAGAAACAGACCGGAAGACGCGGGUGGCGCGGAGCACGAGAAACAACGAGUUUCUGUCUAGAUCGUGGGAGACCCAAGCCCGGGGUUCCGUCCAAGGUCGGGGAUGGAGAGGACGCGACCCCCGCGGCAGUCGAGAUGGCCUUUUUAAAAUUCUAUAUUUGAGAAGGAGUCUCGCGCUGUCGCCCAGGCUGGAGCGCAAUGGCGCGAAAUCGGCUCAUUGCAGCCUCGACGUCCGGGACUCGAGCGAUCCUCCCGCCUCAGCCUCUCGAGAAGGAGUGGCCAGAAGGCUCCUCUCCAGGCCUCACAGGGGGAAACACUGGUCUAGUGAGAGACCUGGGUCCUGCCCAUCAGGACCAAAGCGGCACGUGCGAGGAUCCUGCAGGCCAAGAGACAAUAGCGAUUACAAACCCCAGCCCCAGCCUUGCAGCUGACCUUGCAGGUGACGCCCUGCCUGGGUGUCUCGGUGCAGCUGCACAUCAGGGGCCUCUGCUGGACAGAAGCUCUGAGUCCACACUCAGCCCCCAGGCGCUGGAGCUGGAGCACUGCCACGAGAGGGGAUGCUGCCGUGGCUGCGCCAGCUUCAGCCCUUUCCCUGCACCGAGAUGUCCCAGUGAGCGGCUGGGUGCUCACAGUUCCCGUUGGGCCAUCAGAGGAAGAUCAAAGAUCAACCCUCCCCCAUGGGCUCUUGCCUGCCUGCCAGGUUUUCCUGUCUCCUGGAGGACAAGGAUGAGGGCUUUCCACUUGAGUCUCCCUGGUGGAGCCCAGCUCCUGACAUACCUGGUGAAAGUUCUCAAGAAAAGAACAUGGAGGAGGAAUGUGGAUAACAACCCUGGCUGCCUGUGUGUUCCGAGCUAGGAAGAUGUAAUGUCCCCACAAACGGGGUAAAUGGCUUGCCUGCGUCACAGCUGUCUCAAGCCCAGGCCCUGGGCACCAGCCCAAGCCCAAGGACUAGGUCCAGAGCCACACAGCGCCAGGCCACAUCCGCCUCACCUGGGACCCUUUGUGGGGUACAGUCUCCGGCCCCACCCAGACCUGCUGAAUGAGAGACCCCAUGGCAAGGACUCAGCCACCUGCAGUUUCACAAGCCCCCAGUGGGUUCCUAGGCAUGAAGACCACCGGAUAGAGGCUGAACUGGCAGGAACCUGUCUUCAGCCCCUCCUCACCCCAGCCGGGCCCUGCCUCAGAGGCAGCACCCAGGACGUGGCCAUGACCCGUGGACUCCACUCAAUCCCUCUUCUCCAGGAGCCAUGCAAAGUGUCAGCCAGCCAGGCCCCUGGAAAGCAGUCGUCACCUCUUAAGGCAUUGCGGGUGUCGGUCCUGCAACUGCCAGGUGCAGCACACGACCCAUGUCCGGUGUUCGAUAGCAGGGAGCCAUGACCUGGCAACGAUUCCACGCUCAAAGGGGCACCCAGGGGGCCCUGGGUCGGGGCGGAUCAGCUUUCCCGGGCACAUCUGCCUCAUUCCAGAUCUCCAGGACUCAUGUCUGUGACAGGGAGGGAAGGCUCUGCCCUGGCCUUCCGUCAGCUCUGCCAGUGCAGGCUGGGCAGCCUGGGCUUUAGAGCUGGCUUCUGCCCGCACUUUCUCCGUGAAAGGAAAACAACGCUGAGGCUGCCAAACGCAUCUCAGAUGCGUUUUAAAAAAUUCUGGUCCCCUCUCUCUGUCCCAUCAUCUGCCUCGGGGACUUCCUCUCUCCGUGGUUCUCACCCCAUACUCUGUCACUGCCACAUUUUCACCUGGGCCUGGCCUUUGUCUCCACCUGAAACUCCUGAAAAUCUUGAAAUGGAUUUCUAGGUCACUGGGGACUCCGGCAGCACAUUCGGCUUCAGAAAAAAGGGCGCCCGCGGUCCCCCAGCACCUGCCCAAGCCACACCCCUAGCUUCCCUCCCUAUCCCUGCAGCCUGAGGGUCCCUUCAGCCACCCCUAAGUCCCCACCUGGGCUCCUGCCCCGCCCCUGGCUAGCAGCGCCUUCUCCACCGGGGCCCCUCUGCUCACAGAGCCCCCUCACCUCCCUGCGGAUGAGGGGCCAGGCCAUGACCCUGAAAGCCUAGCCCUGGCCUUGACCUCCCAGGAGCGCCCUCCCCGCCCUCUCCCGGCCCCAUCCUCUGCUGCUGGCCUCUGGGUCGUGCCCCGCAGACUGAGCUGCGCUUGGGGGUCCUGGCGGCCUGGGCCGUCCCGCACCGAACCCAGGCGGUCGGAGCCCGGCGGGGAGGCGCGAGGUCCUUCUGGGGGCUCCUCCGACGCCUUCUCGAGUCGCCUGAGGG